UACGUAGGGGGCGAGCGUUGUCCGAAGUUACUGGGCGUAAAGCGCGCGUAGGCGGUCAUUUAAGUUCGGGGUGAAAGGUUCAACGCUCAACGUGAACAGUGCCCUGGAUACUGGGUGACUUGAGUUCGGGAGGGGGCAGUGGAAUUCCGGGUGUAGCGGUGAAAUGCGUAGAUAUCCGGAGGAACACCGAUGGCGAAGGCAGCUGCCUGGCCUAGAACUGACGCUGAGGUGCGAAAGCGUGGGGAGCGAACGGG
rnacentral:rRNA from 1 species